rnacentral:rRNA from 1 species
UACGUAGGGGGCAAGCGUUGUCCGGAAUCAUUGGGCGUAAAGAGCGUGUAGGCGGCCCGAUAAGUCCGUCGUGAAAGCCCAGGGCUCAACCCUGGGAUGCCGGUGGAUACUGUCGGGCUAGAAUCCGGAAGAGGCGAGUGGAAUUCCUGGUGUAGCGGUGAAAUGCGCAGAUAUCAGGAGGAACACCGAUGGCGAAGGCAGCUCGCUGGGACGGUAUUGACGCUGAGACGCGAAAGCGUGGGGAGCAAACAGG